GACGGAAACUGUCAAUGCCCCGUUUCGGAUAACCAUUUCGUUCGUUUCUUGAAAUUCUUCAUCUUUACUCGUGCGCUGUUUCAAGAAAUCCUCAUACGCAACCAAGGAUUUGAGGAUUCAAGGAAUCUAGUAGGAUUGCCUAGAAACGCAUUUAAAUUUUAAUACUUGUUAUAUUGUAAUUUACUUACAAGCCUGUUGUAUUUUGUUCCAACCUUGUAAUAAACCAUUAUCAAUAAAAUGAAAUUUAAUUA